rnacentral:misc_RNA from 1 species
GAUGAAGAACGUAGCGAAAUGCGAUACGUAGUGUGAAUUGCAGAAUUCAGUGAAUCAUCGAAUCUUUGAACGCACAUUGCACCUCUCGAUAUUCCGGGAGGUAUGCCUGUUCGAGCGUCAUUUGUACCCUCAAGCUCUGCUUGGUGUUGGGUGUUUGUUCCGCCUCUGUGUGUGAACUCGCCUCAAAACAAUUGGCAGCCGGCGUACUUGUUUCGGAGCGCAGCACAUUUUGCGAUCCAGAUCAACGUACAGCGGCAUCCAAGAAGCCUUAUUUAACGCUCUUGACCUCGGAUCAGGUAGGGAUACCCGCUGAACUUAAGCAUAUCAAUAAGCGGAGGA